rnacentral:rRNA from 1 species
GUGGGGAAUUUUGGACAAUGGGCGCAAGCCUGAUCCAGCCAUUCCGCGUGCAGGAUGAAGGCCUUCGGGUUGUAAACUGCUUUUGUACGGAACGAAAAGCCUCUGGUUAAUACCCGGGGGUCAUGACGGUACCGUAAGAAUAAGCACCGGCUAACUACGUGCCAGCAGCCGCGGUAAUACGUAGGGUGCGAGCGUUAAUCGGAAUUACUGGGCGUAAAGCGUGCGCAGGCGGUGAUGUAAGACAGUUGUGAAAUCCCCGGGCUCAACCUGGGAAUUGCGCUUGUGACUGCAAGGCUGGAGUGCGGCAGAGGGGGAUGGAAUUCCGCGUGUAGCAGUGAAAUGCGUAGAUAUGCGGAGGAACACCGAUGGCGAAGGCAAUCCCCUGGGCCUGCACUGACGCUCAUGCACGAAAGCGUGGGGAGCAAACAGGAUUAGAAACCCGAGUAGUCC